rnacentral:rRNA from 1 species
AAAUUGAAGAGUUUGAUCAUGGCUCAGAUUGAACGCUGGCGGCAGGCCUAACACAUGCAAGUCGAACGGUAACAGGAAACAGCUUGCUGCUUCGCUGACGAGUGGCGGACGGGUGAGUAAUGUCUGGGAAACUGCCUGAUGGAGGGGGAUAACUACUGGAAACGGUAGCUAAUACCGCAUAACGUCGCAAGACCAAAGAGGGGGACCUUCGGGCCUCUUGCCAUCGGAUGUGCCCAGAUGGGAUUAGCUAGUAGGUGGGGUAA